rnacentral:rRNA from 1 species
AACGCGAAGAACCUUACCUGGUCUUGUCAUCCACGGAAGUUUUCAGAGAUGAGAAUGUGCCUUCGGGAACCGUGAGACAGGUGCUGCAUGGCUGUCGUCAGCUCGUGUUGUGAAAUGUUGGGUUAAGUCCCGCAACGAGCGCAACCCUUAUCCUUUGUUGCCAGCGGUCCGGCCGGGAACUCAAAGGAGACUGCCAGUGAUAAACUGGAGGAAGGUGGGGAUGACGUCAAGUCAUCAUGGCCCUUACGACCAGGGCUACACACGUGCUACAAUGGCGCAUACAAAGAGAAGCGACCUCGCGAGAGCAAGCGGACCUCAUAAAGUGCGUCGUAGUCCGGAUUGGAGUCUGCAACUCGACUCCAUGAAGUCGGAAUCGCUAGUAAUCGUGGAUCAGAAUGCCACGGUGAAUACGUUCCCGGGCCUUGUACACACCG